UACAGAGGAGCCAAGCGUUGUCCGGAUUUACUGGGCGUAAAGCGCGCGUGGGCGGAUCAUCAAGUCGGGGGUGAAAUCCCGGGGCUCAACCCCGGAACGGCCUUCGAGACUGGUGGUCUUGAGUUCGAGAGAGGUGGGUGGAAUUCCGAGUGUAGAGGUGAAAUUCGUAGAUAUUCGGAGGAACACCAGUGGCGAAGGCGGCCCACUGGCUCGACACUGACGCUGAGGCGCGAAAGCGUGGGGAGCAAACAGG
rnacentral:rRNA from 1 species